rnacentral:rRNA from 1 species
GAGUUUGAUCCUGGCUCAGGAUGAACGCUGGCGGCGUGCCUAACACAUGCAAGUCGAGCGGAAUUCUUAAAAAGAUUCUUCGGAUGAUUUUUAAGAAGGAAAGCGGCGGACGGGUGAGUACGCGUAGGCAACCUGCCCUUUGCAGAGGGAUAGCCUCGGGAAACCGGGAUUAAAACCUCAAAUGCUGAGAGGAGACAUCUUCAUUCAGCCAAAGAUUUAUCGGCAAAGGAUGGGCCUGCGCUGAUUAGCUAGUUGGUGGGGUAACGGCCUACCAAGGCAACGAUCAGUAGCCGACCUGAGGGGUGAUCGGCCACAUUGGAACUGAGACACGGUCCAAACUCCUACGGGAGGCAGCAGUGGGAAUAUUGCACAAUGGGCGAAAGCCUGAUGCAGCAACGCCGCGUGAAGGAUGAAGGCCUUGGGUCGUAAACUUCUGUUCUAAGGGAAGAUAAUGACGGUACCUUAGGAGCAAGUCCCGGCAACUACGUGCCAGCAGCCGCGGUAAUACGUAGGGGGCGAGCGUUAUCCGGAAUUAUUGGGGUAAAGAGUACGUAGGUGGUUUCCUAAGCAGGGGGUCUAAGGCUAUGGCUUAACCAUAGUCGCCCCCUGAACUGGGUAACUUGAGUGCAGGAGAGGAAAGCGGAAUUCCUAGUGUAGCGGGAAAUGCGUA